GUGCCUUCGACAAGGACCGCCGCCGGCUCGUGCUUUGGCUCGGCUCGAUCGGGCUGCUCUUCCUGCUGAUCUGUGCAGGCUCUGCCACCCCCUUCUACCGCCUGUGGUGGU
rnacentral:rRNA from 1 species